rnacentral:rRNA from 1 species
CCUACGGGGUGCAGCAGUAGGGAAUAUUGCUCAAUGGGGGAAACCCUGAAGCAGCAACGCCGCGUGGAGGAUGAAGGUUUUCGGAUUGUAAACUCCUUUUGUUAGAGAAGAUAAUGACGGUAUCUAACGAAUAAGCACCGGCUAACUCCGUGCCAGCAGCCGCGGUAAUACGGAGGGUGCAAGCGUUACUCGGAAUCACUGGGCGUAAAGAGCGCGUAGGCGGGAUAGCAAGUCAGAUGUGAAAUCCUAGGGCUUAACCAUAGAACUGCAUUUGAAACUGUUAUUCUAGAGUAUGGGAGAGGUAGGUGGAAUUAUUGGUGUAGGGGUAAAAUCCGUAGAGAUCAAGAGGAAUACUCAUUGCGAAGGCGACCUGCUAGAACAUAACUGACGCUGAUGCGCGAAAGCGUGGGGAGCAAACAGGAUUAGAUACCCUAGUAGUC